GUGCUAGCUCCAUCAGCACAUAUACAAAAGUUAGAGUGAUACAGAGAAGAUGAGCAUGACCCCUACUCAAAGAUGACAUGCAAAUUUGUGAAGCAUUCCAUAUUUCU